rnacentral:rRNA from 1 species
ACGAACGCUGGCGGCGUGCUUAACACAUGCAAGUCGAACGGUGAAGCGCUUUCCUUUUUGGUUGGUGUGGAUGAGUGGCGAACGGGUGAGUAACACGUGAGUAACCUGCCCCCUUCUUCUGGAUAACCGCAUGAAAGUGUGGCUAAUACGGGAUAUUCUGCGCCUGCUGCAUGGUGGGUGUGGGAAAGAUUGUGCCUUUGGGUGUUUUCGGUGGGGGAUGGGCUCGCGGCCUAUCAGCUUGUUGGUGGGGUGAUGGCCUACCAAGGCGGUGACGGGUAGCCGGCCUGAGAGGGUGGACGGUCACACUGGGACUGAGACACGGCCCAGACUCCUACGGGAGGCAGCAGUGGGGAAUAUUGCACAAUGGGCGCAAGCCUGAUGCAGCGACGCCGCGUGAGGGAUGGAGGCCUUCGGGUUGUGAACCUCUUUCGCCAGUGAAGCAGGCCUGCUCCUUGUGGGUGGGUUGACGGUAGCUGGAUAAGAAGCGCCGGCUAACUACGUG